GGAAGAAGAAUCAGGCCGGCCUGGGCUCU
rnacentral:piRNA from 1 species